GGCCUAAUAGGAAUAUUCUAGGCCUCAGGAACAAUUGGAUUAAAAUCCGGGUGAAGGGUCCACAUGUCAAAGAAUUUGAACGGCUUGGGACCAAAGGAGGAAGGAGAAAAAACAUGGAGGGAGAUAGGGGAGUGGUCUGAAAUCUCAGGGAGAUCGAAGGUAGCGAAGGAAGAGGGAAAGGAGGUCAGCCAGGAUUCAUUUGUAAGGACUCUAUAAAGUUUGCAGGAAUUCUGUUAGAGCAAGAUCGGCGAUUGUGCCAAGUGAAAUUGGCACCAGACCAGCAGUCAUACCAAUGUCCUCUACGCAGAGAGCGUUCAGUGCAGCAUAAUAGGCUGUAAGAGACAAAUCCUUCUGAGUAAUCUUGCGAAUCUGUUGGCGGAGCUCAUAGGUUUGUGGAUAAUUACUGAUCUGGGCAUAAGUUGCACAACAUUCCAUAACUCCUUUGCUUAAUUCAUAAGAAUGAAGCUAGAACUGAUUGCUAGUUCCAUGGAAUUAAGGAGAAAAGACAUGAUGAGUGCAUACCAAGUGUUUUUUGCAGUACAAGGCAUAGGGGUGUCACUAUGUAAGUACCCUGAAAAAAUGGUUCCCAUGAGGAGUCAGAAGGCAUAACCUGGACCAGACAAGGUAUUAGACCCAUUCAGUUUUGUCAGACCCGGCUGGAGGGAAGGGUUAUGGCCAUGAGUUCCCAUGCGACUCACCUCACUAUGCCCAAGUACCACUAUGGUGGUGCCACUACUUUCCUCCAUAGUGUCGGAUUCAAACAAGUAAUGUGUUCGUGGGAAAAAACUGAUACGAAAAGGUUGGAAAGUUGUAUCGUAGAAGAAGCCCAAAAAUACUCCUUGGAAAGGCUGACUAUUGGCAGGAUGAAAGCUGCAUGAGUGGGGAUGAUGGCGGCAAAGACAGCGGGACUUCUGGUGAGCAAGGAAAGGUGACGAGGGCUGCUGGGGUCAAAUGCAACACUAGCAGGAGGCAGUGAAGGCUGUUGUGUGGCGUAGUAGUGUUGGUGAGGGCGUCAAUGGCCGCUGGGGUUGGUGGUAAGGGCAAGGGCCACAGGAGGUCCAGGCAGCGGGGGGCAAAGGGCUGCAGGACUGCCGGCAGCAAGGUUGAAGGCCACUGGCGGCCUGGCAGUGAAGGGAGAGGGCCACUAGGGCUGGCGGCUCAACUAAAAACCAAAAAACUUUUUGGGCUUUGUCAAGGCCCACUUUAUUCAUAGAUAAUAAAAGAUACAAAUAAAGUAUGUUAGGUGAGGAUGACUCAUCCUUGUCCUAACAUACAGACAUACGAAAUACAUUGAAUCUAGACACAUAUUAACAUACAUUGUUGUGACCCUUAAUAGCUUGAGUUUUUGGGAUAAACGGUUGUGACAGUGUUGAAAACUUGAAGGUGGUUUGUUUCAAUCCCUAGCUGGAUUCCUAUGUGGUUUCUUUUCUUCUUUCUUCACUUUCCUUCUUUCUGCUUCCUGUUUCUCUAUUUUGUGUUUCAGCAACCUGACUCUAACCCCACAACCAAUCCCCCCCCCCCCCUCUAACCCCUAUAAUUUCACUGGAACACCACUAUCAAAUGAACCCUUAACAGCCCAGUCUAAACCCAUACAGACCCUAGCCUAUUGGACUGCUUUUAUCGUUUCUAUUUUCUGAUGUAUCAUGACAGAUUCUAUUACAUUCACUAGAACAAUAAGAAACCCUAUUCAUACCCAAACAUUGUUAAUGCGUCAAAACCUGAUGUUGGGGUAAUCCUAAUAACCUAGUUUCCAUACUAUCUACCCGAUUGCUUUGCAGGGCUUUUUGGCGCUUCAUUUCUCUUUUUUUUCUUUUUUUCUUUUUUUCCUUUUUUCUUUUUGGCAUGUGUUGUGGUAACCUAAUCUUGAAUCAUCAUGGCUUUACAGAUGUACUAGCCACAUUAUGUAAUGCUGUAUUCUGAUGGUUGGAAGUGCCCCAUGUGGCUUCUAAUAUCAUAGCAUGAUCCUAUCAAAUGCUUAUUUUAAAUAAAAAAUAGGAAUCUGUAUUUUGAAUUGGAUAAGGAAAUGUGUUUACAACGGAUGUUUUUUGAGUUUGAAGGGGAGGAUUGGCAUCCCUUUUAGUUCCUGCAGUAAUCUCAAGUCAUCAGAAACUGGAUCUACAGCAAAUUGGAAGGUGAAAUGGGGCCAUUAUCUUUCAGGGCUUCCUGGUAGGGACCUACUAUCAGAUAUUGAGGAGUUGGAUAUUGGAUAUCUUCUUGACCUUAGAUCUGUGAGGUGAUUGAUGGGGUUCAGGUUUGCCAUUGGCAUUGGGCUCAUGGUUGAUUGAGGAAGUACCACUAGAAACAUGAUGAGAAGGAUAAAAAAAUCCGAGAUCUAUAUAGUGAGCUGGAGCGUGAGAGACAACGAACUACAGCCAUUCAAGAACAGCUACAUAUGAUCUUGAAAUUUCUAGAGGAACAUGCCCAAUACGUAUCAGUAAGAGUCGAAGAUAUUGUUAACAAUAUGAGACAAAUUGAGUCUGCAGGCCUAGAAAAUUCAAACCACAGAUGAAGAGGUAGUACAAUUAUAUUUUUCUGUUGAUGUCCUUUUUCCCUUUACUAUAUUGGCAAUUUUAACUUCAGUAGUAUAGGUAGGUUGCAGCUCUAGUCUGUAGCUGUGGUCAGGCUGGAUAAGAUGAUGAUGCAAUAUGGUGUCUUGCAGUUGGAUUUGGAUUGUAAUUCUAUUGUCAGUGGUAAGAUCACUAUCUGUAGACAAAUACCUACUGGAGAGUUGAGAGAGCAAUGCAUAAAGCAGAUUGACCA